UGCUGGGUGGAUUAGUGGCGAACGGGUGAGUAACACGUGAGUAACCUGCCCUUAACUCUGGGAUAAGCCUGGGAAACUGGGUCUAAUACCGGAUAGGAGCGCCUACCGCAUGGUGGGUGUUGGAAAGAUUUAUCGGUUUUGGAUGGACUCGCGGCCUAUCAGCUUGUUGGUGAGGUAAUGGCUCACCAAGGCGACGACGGGUAGCCGGCCUGAGAGGGUGACCGGCCACACUGGGACUGAGACACGGCCCAGACUCCUACGGGAGGCAGCAGUGGGGAAUAUUGCACAAUGGGCGAAAGCCUGAUGCAGCGACGCCGCGUGAGGGAUGACGGCCUUCGGGUUGUAAACCUCUUUCAGUAGGGAAGAAGCGAAAGUGACGGUACCUGCAGAAGAAGCACCGGCUAACUACGUGCCAGCAGCCGCGGUAAUACGUAGGGUGCGAGCGUUAUCCGGAAUUAUUGGGCGUAAAGAGCUCGUAGGCGGUUUGUCGCGUCUGUCGUGAAAGUCCGGGGCUUAACCCCGGAUCUGCGGUGGGUACGGGCGGACUAGAGUGCAGUAGGGGAGACUGGAAUUCCUGGUGUAGCGGUGGAAUGCGCAGAUAUCAGGAGGAACACCGAUGGCGAAGGCAGGUCUCUGGGCUGUAACUGACGCUGAGGAGCGAAAGCAUGGGGAGCGAACAGGAUUAGAUACCCUGGUAGUCCAUGCCGUAAACGUUGGGCACUAGGUGUGGGGACCAUUCCACGGUUUCCGCGCCGCAGCUAACGCAUUAAGUGCCCCGCCUGGGGAGUACGGCCGCAAGGCUAAAACUCAAAGGAAUUGACGGGGGCCCGCACAAGCGGCGGAGCAUGCGGAUUAAUUCGAUGCAACGCGAAGAACCUUACCAAGGCUUGACAUGUUCUCGAUCGCCGUAGAGAUACGGUUUCCCCUUUUGGGGCGGGUUCACAGGUGGUGCAUGGUUGUCGUCAGCUCGUGUCGUGAGAUGUUGGGUUAAGUCCCGCAACGAGCGCAACCCUCGUUCCAUGUUGCCAGCACGUAAUGGUGGGGACUCAUGGGAGACUGCCGGGGUCAACUCGGAAGGAAGGGGAGGACGACGUCAAAUCAUCAUGGCCC
rnacentral:rRNA from 1 species